CCAAGGGCAUCGCUGGGUAGCUAUGUGCGGACGGGAUAAGUGCUGAAAGCAUCUAAGCAUGAAGCCCCCCUCAAGAUGAGAUUUCCCAUUCCGCAAGGAAGUAAGAUCCCUGAAAGAUGAUCAGGUUGAUAGGUCUGAGGUGGAAGUGUGGCGACACAUGGAGCUGACAGAUACUAAUCGAUCGAGGACUUAACCUAAA
rnacentral:rRNA from 1 species